rnacentral:rRNA from 1 species
UACGUAGGGGGCAAGCGUUGUCCGGAUUUAUUGGGCGUAAAGAGCGUGUAGGCGGCUUUACAGGUCCGUUGUGAAAACUCGAGGCUCAACCUCGAGACGCCGGUGGAAACCGUAAGGCUAGAGUCCGGAAGAGGAGAGUGGAAUUCCUGGUGUAGCGGUGAAAUGCGCAGAUAUCAGGAAGAACACCCGUGGCGAAGGCGGCUCUCUGGGACGGUACUGACGCUGAGACGCGAAAGCGUGGGGAGCGAAC